rnacentral:tRNA from 1 species
GGCCUGUCGGUAACAGGGCCAGGCUUGUUCGCAACGGGUCCGGGCUUUUCGGUACGGGGCCGGGCUUGUUCGAAACGGGUCCGGGCCG